GCCGGGCAUUGUGGCAUGUGCCUGUAAUCCCAGCUACUCAGGAGGCUGAGGCAGGAGAAUCACUUGAACCCAGGAGGCGGAGGCUGCAGUGAGCUGAGAUCACACCACUGCACUCUAGCCUGGGUGACAGAGCGAGACUCUGUCUCUA
ensembl:misc_RNA Metazoa_SRP Metazoan signal recognition particle RNA